GUGGGGGAUAUUGCACAAUGGGGGAAACCCUGAUGCAGCGACGCCGCGUGAAGGAAGACGUACUUCGGUAUGUAAACUUCUAUCAGCAGGGAAGAAGAUGACGGUACCUGACUAAGAAGCCCCGGCUAACUACGUGCCAGCAGCCGCGGUAAUACGUAGGGGGCAAGCGUUAUCCGGAUUUACUGGGUGUAAAGGGAGCGUAGACGGUGAAGCAAGUCUGAUGUGAAAACCCGGGGCUCAACUCCGGGAUUGCAUUGGAAACUGUUUUACUUGUGUGCUGGAGGGGCAAGCUGAAUUCCUGGUGUAGCGGUGAAAUGCGUAGAUAUCAGGAAAAACACCGGUGGCGAAGGCGGCUUGCUGGACAGUAACUGACGUUGAGGCUCGAAAGCGUGGGGAGCAAACAGGAUUAGAUACCCCUGUAGUCC
rnacentral:rRNA from 1 species